UUUUCAGAGACGAUGGUACACUUCAGUGACAAAAUGCAGGAAUUUGUGAAAAUCUAAAUAGUGGUACAAAAUGCCAUGGUUCAGAUGAAACUUUGUUACACCAAUGGAUUAUAUUUUUCUGGUAAUCUCCCUUCCAGCGCUGCGACUUCUUGUGCAGUUUUCAACCUCUUAUUUGUGUGAAUUUGGAUUUUCAGCCCUGACAAUCAUCAAGCACAAUUGCUGUCUGUGGAAGAUGAACUUCGUGUGUGUCUAUCAAAAACACGACCCAAUCUUAAAAAGUAUUGCAAGAAACACCAGGCUCAAGUUUCUCAUUGAGUUUUUGAUGAGAAUAAAUCAUGGUUCAGAUGAAACUUUGUUACACCAAUAGAUUACAUUUUUCUGGUAAUCUCCCUUCCAACCACAAGUCAUUAAAACAGGAAGUUCGAACAUAGCCAGAC